GGAAAUGUGCCCGAAAGUCAGGGAUCACUUUGAUAGAGUGAAAUAUAUGGGUUCAAACCCCAUCAUCUCCU
rnacentral:ncRNA from 12 species